rnacentral:rRNA from 1 species
CCUACGGGUGGCAGCAGUGAGGAAUAUUGGUCAAUGGACGAGAGUCUGAACCAGCCAAGUAGCGUGAAGGAUGACUGCCCUAUGGGUUGUAAACUUCUUUUAUAUGGGAAUAAAAUGUUCCACGUGUGGGAUUUUGUAUGUACCAUAUGAAUAAGGAUCGGCUAACUCCGUGCCAGCAGCCGCGGUAAUACGGAGGAUCCGAGCGUUAUCCGGAUUUAUUGGGUUUAAAGGGAGCGUAGGUGGAUUGUUAAGUCAGUUGUGAAAGUUUGCGGCUCAACCGUAAAAUUGCAGUUGAAACUGGCAGUCUUGAGUACAGUAGAGGUGGGCGGAAUUCGUGGUGUAGCGGUGAAAUGCUUAGAUAUCACGAAGAAGUCCGAUUGCGAAGGCAGUUCACUGGACUGCAACUGACACUGAGGCUCGAAAGUGUGGGUAUCAAACAGGAUUAGAUACCCGAGUAGUC